rnacentral:misc_RNA from 1 species
UUUUUUUUUCUUUUUUCUUGCGGUUAAUAAGAACGUGCAGACGUUGUUGGAAAAAUUAACGUUGACUUUUAUACAGAUCAAAAUAUCGUCAUACUUAUUUUACUAUUGUUACAUCAUUUUAUUGCGAUUACUUGUAUAUAGUAUAUUUAGGUAUACAUUGCAGUCUACUUAUUGUAAUAUUGGAAUUUUACACCGAAGGAAAACUAUUUUUUUAGGUCUCUUAUUCAAAUUACAAGGUUGGAACAAAGAGUACAUUUUGAUAGAAAAUACAAACCUGACAGGUGAUCGUGGUCUUCUGUUUAAUUUUUCAGUGGCAGAGAGAAUAUCGUCGCUAGUCUUUUGGAAAUAUCGCGCUCUUGGUAUUUGUUUGUAUGGUAAAUACCUAAAAAUUCGAGUAGGAGAUAAAUAAAAAGCCCUUCUCGUCUUUAUUCAAAUAGAAAAUGUAUUUUGUAAUUAACGUUUAAAAAGUAUACGCGAACAAAAAUAGAGAGUAAAUAGGUAGAGCUGUCUGACCCAUUGCCUUCCUGUUCUACUACAUGUUAUCAAACAAGAAUACGUCUAAUUUAUUUAUCGACUAAAAAACUAUACAAGAAAGAAAUGAUUUUGAUAGUAACGAUAAUUCUAAUAAAUUUCAAUAGACUUCAAUAACUCGUAAUUGAUUCAUAAACGAUAAAUACAAACAUUAGUUAUAAUCGAUCUUCCGAUAGAUUUCGACAGAUUUUAGCAAACUUAAACAAGUUCAUAAGCUUGAUUAACCGAGUCAUGACUCGUUGACGUAUAUAAUUCAUAUUUUACAGUCAUUAGUCCUAUAAUUUCUUUGGUACCUCUCAAAAUAAUUUUAUUUUAUUUUCUACUCAAUCUGUUAUUUUGUGUACUUUAAAGCCUACGUGUCGUCUGUCUUUUUUCUUAAAUUCAGAAUUUCAAUCUUAAAUCUUGAAAAGCCGGUCCCACGACAAGAAAGCGCGAAUCACACGAAUCAACUUCUAUCAAGU